rnacentral:rRNA from 1 species
UAGGGAAUCUUCGGCAAUGGGGGGAACCCUGACCGAGCAACGCCGCGUGAGUGAAGAAGGUUUUCGGAUCGUAAAGCUCUGUUGUUAAGGAAGAACGAGUGUGAGAAUGGAAAGUUCAUACUGUGACGGUACUUAACCAGAAAGGGACGGCUAAGUACGUGCCAGCAGCCGCGGUAAUACGUAGGUCCCGAGCGUUGUCCGGAUUUAUUGGGCGUAAAGCGGGCGCAGGCGGUUUGAUAAGUCUGAAGUUAAAGGCAGUGGCUCAACCAUUGUAGGGUUUUGGAACUGGUUAAACUGAAUGCAGAAGGGGAGAGUGGAAUUCCAUGUGUAGCGGUGAAAAUCGUAGAUAUAUGGAGGAACACCAGUGGCGAAGGCGACUCUCUGGUCUGUAACUGACGCUGGGGCUCGAAAGCGUGGGUAGCAAACAGG